AGCGAACGCUAGCGGCGGGCCUAACACAUGCAAGUCGAGCGGGGAGCAAUCCCAGCGGCGAACGGGUGAGUAACACGUGGGUAAUGUGCCUUCUGGUGGGGAAUAACCUUGGGAAACCAGGGCUAAUACCGCAUAUCGUGCUUCGGCAUGAAAGCCUUCGGGCGCCAGUAGAGCAGCCUGCGUCCCAUUAUUUAGUCCUAGUUGGUAGGGUAAUGGCCUACCAAGGGUACGGAUGGGUAGCUGGUCUGAGAGGAUGAUCAGCCACACUGGAACUGAGACACGGUCCAGACUCCUACGGGAGGCAGCAGUGGGGAAGUAUUGCGCAAUAGGGGGAAACCCGUACGACGCAGCCACGCCGCGUGAGUGAUGAAGGCC
rnacentral:rRNA from 1 species